UACGUAGGGCGCAAGCGUUUAUCCGGAAUUAUUGGGCGUAAAGAGCUCGUAGGCGGUUUGUCGCGUCUGCCGUGAAAGUCCGGGGGCUCAACUCCGGAUCUGCGGUGGGUACGGGCAGACUAGAGUGAUGUAGGGGAGACUGGAAUUCCUGGUGUAGCGGUGAAAUGCGCAGAUAUCAGGAGGAACACCGAUGGCGAAGGCAGGUCUCUGGGCAUUAACUGACGCUGAGGAGCGAAAGCAUGGGGGAGCGAACAGG
rnacentral:rRNA from 1 species